GAAGCACUUUCAGAGGACACACUGAUCGGAAGCAUGAUCCAAGAUGGGUUAGGAAACCUGAGUUCUAAGCUCAGCUCCAUCACUUAACUAGCUCUGUGAUAUGAGCUUGUCCGAGACUCCAUUUCUCAUCUAGAAAUGAAUAGUCACAUGUACUUGAUGAAGAUAACUUCAGAAUCACCAGCAAAUAUGUGAGAGAAAACUCCUUGUGAGCAGAAUGCUGCAUCCACAAAGACAUCACCAUGGUGAUCCUCAUGAAUGGAGGGCAGGCCCUCCGGGGCAGUCCCUAGCCACACGGCCACACUGGGAUGAACAGAGGGUGAGACUGGCUGGCGAUGCUGAUAUUACCAGGGACAGGAAUCCUGCUUUGACUUGUGAGUAAUCUUGGGGAUGCUGAAUCAUGAAGGAGGAAGGAAGCUGAAAAGAAUGGGUGAGGGGUACCCAGGACCUGACAGGUCAAGUAGAAGAGAAUACUGGGAGGUUAGUGGAGGAUCCAGAUGGGAGGACGAGCUCCCUUCUACCCAAACCUUCUUUUGGCAAUACACUUCCCAGUCAUCUGCAAAAUGAUUACUUAGCCAACAGAUUCAUGAGGAAGUCGGGUGUUGAGGGGUCUGGUCGCAAAGGUGGACCCAUGACAUGGUGGGCUGCAUGGUGCCAUUCUUUAUUCCAGUAGUGAGUGCCAUCUGUGCCAAGACUGGCUGCUAUGGGUUCACCAUAGACCACCUUCCCUGGAAAGAUUAAAAGAAGCAUUCAUCACUUUAAUUUUAUUCUUAAGAGGACCAUAUGACAAACACAUAAAUAUUAAUCUUUUCUCCCCUAGCAGAGGGUAAUAUCUACAGUUUAGCAGAAUCCCAAACUAUAAUUUACUUUUGUGGACAGGAUUUAAAAAUCCAUGAUGAACAUAAAUAUGAAUGAGAAAUAAACUUCUGUAAGUAUAAGCUAUUCAUAUUUUAGAUCCAUUUUUAUGGCCAUAUAACCUAGAAAAAGCUGGCUGGUACAAGAGCCAUUCUAAUGAAACCUUCUCCAAAACCCUACCAGAUAAAUGCUAUUGUUAUCUCCAUAAAAAGAUGAAAAUAAAGCUAUGGAGUAAUAAUUUCUCUACAUUUACAUUACAUACAGUCUAUGUGGUGUGGAGAAGGUAGAAUUUGAACCCAGAAUUUGACUCCAGUGGUUCUAACUUUUAUGCUUUACUACCCUGAUGACAGAUAAUUAUUAGUUAGGUCAUAUGGAAUUCAACCACAGCAUAUCUCUGCUGCAAAUCAAUUGAUAAUCUUUUCAUGCCCUUGAAAAAAAGAACUCCUCAAAAAACGUGUAUUAAAUGAAAGAACACUCAGAUAAUAAAGUCUUAGCCAGAAAUGCGUAUUUUAAAAAUCAUGCAAAUGAGGCCAUCAAAAAAAAAAGCGUACAAUGUUAGAAAAGUUAAUAGUGCACAGUGAAUUUGAAAUUAAAAUCAGAAUCCUAUCUCUGAUUAGCAUUUGUCAGAAUAAUAGGUUUGUUGGCAUCAACCUGAUCAAAUUCAGGCAAUCAUUAAGGAGAGUGCACAGUAGAGAGAUGCUGGCAUACCAAAUUAGUUCACUCUGGUUCAUCAGAUGCUGAGUUUUAGUUAAAAUCCUGAUAUAUAACUGAAAUUAACGAUUUCCUCAGAGAGUACUGACAGUAGAUGGCCGCCAGUUGCCUGAGUCAUAUCAAAUUGGAACACAGCACCCUAUUAUUUCAUAGAUCCUUCUUCAAACUAGCCAUCUUCCACUAGCUAGCUUAGGAAUUUGAAAAACCAUGAAAGCAAGGCUUAUUGAAGCCUAAGAACUUCAAUUCUUAAGUAACCAAGUAUCAAUAAAAGUUAUCCCCCAGGGACUUAGCCAUGGCUAAGUUACUUUGCUUCCGUGACAUACCCUACUGGAUGAAUCCCAUCUCCAUUCGGAUUCUUACUGCCCUAUCCCCAGAAAAGGAGAAACACCAUUAGCAACUCUUUCUAAAUAUAGAAUAUGCCCAAUCGUUUUUAGUGAAUGAAGAGGUAAUGUACUAUCUACUGGAGAACUGGGAAGAUGGACACGAUAUUUUAUUUGCAAGUAUGAAGAGACCUUCCUAUUCCAAGGGAACGUCUUACAGAUGCUUGGACAAUGAAAACUCAGAGACUUGAUCUGCAAUCACUUUACAAGUCGCUGACUGAGGAUUUUCCAUGGUGCUUUAUCAUUGAGGAAAGAUCCUUAUCACAUGUUCUAUUCAAUCACUUGGCCCAUCAAGGUGAUACGGGAAUAUGGUUCCAAAAGUUCUGCAAUUUUAACAGCACUCAGGAAAAAUUAAAAGUGUCAGCAUCUACCGGGA